rnacentral:tRNA from 1 species
GCCCUAGUAAGUUUAGUUGGUAGCUGCGUCUGCCUUGUAAGCGCUAGGCCGCGGGUUCGAUUCCCGCCCGGGGCG